GAUCCUGGCUCAGAUUGAACGCUGGCGGCGUGCUAACACAUGCAAGUCGCGCGUGAAAGGACUUCGGUCCGAGUAAAGCGGCGCACGGGUGAGUAACGCGUGGAUGAUCUACCCAUGAGUUGGGAAUAACGGCUGGAAACGGUCGCUAAUACCAAAUACGCUCCGAUUUCAACUUCGGGGGAAAGGUGGCCUCUGCUUGCAAGCUACUGCUCAUGGAUGAGUCCGCGUCCCAUUAGCUAGUUGGUGGGGUAACGGCCCACCAAGGCGACGAUGGGUAGCCGGUCUGAGAGGAUGACCGGCCACACUGGGACUGGAACACGGCCCAGACUCCUACGGGAGGCAGCAGUGGGGAAUAUUGCGCAAUGGGCGAAAGCCUGACGCAGCGACGCCGCGUGAGGGAUGAAGGUCCUCGGAUCGUAAACCUCUGUCAGGAGGGAAGAACCGCCACGGUGCUAAUCAGCCGUGGUCUGACGGUACCUCCAAAGGAAGCACCGGCUAACUCCGUGCCAGCAGCGGC
rnacentral:rRNA from 1 species